AAUGGACGAAAGUCUGACCGAGCAACGCCUGCGUGAGUGAAGAAGGUUUUCGGAUCGUAAAACUCUGUUGUUAGAGAAGAACAAGGAUGAGAGUAACUGUUCAUCCCUUGACGGUAUCUAACCAGAAAGCCACGGCUAACUACGUGCCAGCAGCCGCGGUAAUACGUAGGUGGCAAGCGUUGUCCGGAUUUAUUGGGCGUAAAGCGAGCGCAGGCGGUUUCUUAAGUCUGAUGUGAAAGCCCCCGGCUCAACCGGGGAGGGUCAUUGGAAACUGGGAGACUUGAGUGCAGAAGAGGAGAGUGGAAUUCCAUGUGUAGCGGUGAAAUGCGUAGAUAUAUGGAGGAACACCAGUGGCGAAGGCGGCUCUCUGGUCUGUAACUGACGCUGAGGCUCGAAAGCGUGGGGAGCAAACAGGAUUAGAUACCCUGGUAGUCCACGCCGUAAACGAUGAGUGCUAAGUGUUGGAGGGUUUCCGCCCUUCAGUGCUGCAGCUAACGCAUUAAGCACUCCGCCUGGGGAGUACGACCGCAAGGUUGAAACUCAAAGGAAUUGACGGGGGCCCGCACAAGCGGUGGAGCAUGUGGU
rnacentral:rRNA from 1 species